rnacentral:rRNA from 1 species
AUCUGGGCGGCGGAAUUCAGGACGGUCGGGCGGGCCUCGCGCUCGUCGGGCCGUUUGAUAUUUCCGUCGCCGUGUCAGACGUCGCGACCUGUUCGUCGUCGGUCCUUGCUCGGAGGAAGCGCGAUCGAGUUCGUUGCGGGCGCGUUUCGGCGCGUUCCGCGGCGAAGACGCGACUCUCUGGCUGACGACGGACAGUAAGCAACGGUGUCUGGCGUCGUGUCUCGCACUCGACGUCGGUGCCGGUCAGCGACGAUUUCUUCGGGCCUCUUUCCGACCCGUCUUGAAACACGGACCAAGGAGUCUAACAUGCGCGCGAGUCGCGGGGUUUCGAGCGUGCCACGGUGCGCUCGUUACUUCCGAAACCCGUACGUUGAAGGCGUAAUGAAAGUGAACAGGGAAGAUGGCGUUCCGAGUCCACGUACCGUGAUCGAGUAUCGCGGCCGGACGUCCGCACUCCCGGGGCGUCUCAAUGGCUCGCCACGGAUGCGGACGGUCGUCUUUCGGGGCGGCCGUCGGUCUGUGGCGGUCCGA